UUUACCCCUUUUUCCAGAUCACUUAGGAGUAUGUUGAACAGAACUGGUCCCAGUACAGAGCCCCAGGGGACACCACUAUUUACCUCUCUCCAUUCUGAAAACUGACCACUUAGUCAGACCCUUUCUUUCUUGCCUUUGAACCAGUUACAUAUCCCAGAGAGGACCUUCCAUCUUAUCCCAUUUUGCUUCAGAGCCAAGGGAGGGCCCUUCUCAAAUGUUUUCUGAAAAUCUAAGUACACUAUAUCCACGGGAUCACCUUUAUCUACAUGCUUGUUGACUCCCUCAAAGAAUUCUAGUAAAUUCGUGAGGCAUGAUUUCCCUUUACAAAAACCAUGUUCACUCUUCCCCAACAAAUUAUGUUUAUCUAUGUGUCUAAUAAUUGUGCUCUUUAUAAUUUCACCCAAUUUGCCUGGUACUGAAGUUAGCCUUAGUUGCCUGUAAUUGCCAGGAGCAUCUCUGGAGCCUUUUUUAUGCAUUGGUGUCAUAUUAGCUCUCCUCCAGGCAUCUGGUGUGGAAGCUGAUUUAAAGGACAGGUGACUUAUUGCUGUUUAAUUUAUCAAUUUGUUCCAAAACCAGUAAGGAUACUGGUCCUUACUGAAUAGUCAAGUCAUGAUCACUGGCCCCAGAGCAACCACGGACAUCCAGUCCAGUGAUCAGUUCAUCUUUAUCCAACACAAGGAGGCCCACAAUAGAGUCACUCCUAGUUGGGCACAAAACUUUGCAUUAGAAAAGUAUCUAUAAUUUUUUAAAAUGGCCAAGGACGGUUUACUCCUGGCUACGUGAGACCGCCCCUGUCUGUCUCCCAGUAGGAAGUCCCCCGGGCUAACCUAAUUUCUUCCCACAAGUCAUAGACAGGUGCAAAAGGAGAAACAUUUCCUGCUCUCUGGUUUGGAUUCAGUGAAUGGUGCCAGCCCCCCACCGGUUCAUCUGCUGGGCUGUGUCAGUAGCAGCUUGAUCCCUAUCCAUUCGAGGUCCGGGGUUCUCAAUAACCAAGAACGUAAAACAGGGGCCGCGACCUACGGCAGGAAGGAGCCAGGUGGUGGUUGGAGAGACUCUAGGAGGAAUGCUAUGGGAUGGCGCUCUGAUCUCCUCUUCACUCUGCUUCUUCCCACCCCCACCUUUGGGGUGUGAAUGGUGCCUAGCUGUCUGCGGUCUUAGGUCCCAUAUCAAUGGACCUCUUGAGAAGACAAUGGCAAAUCCUAUUUCCCAGACAUGGACUCCUAGCAACCAACAACCCAGAGAAAAAUGGACUUCUCCUCCUCACAGCAGGGAUGCUGAGCCAUAUCUCCCCAGCACCAGAACAAAGGACUGAGGGAGUUGAGGUGGAAGUUAAGUGUUGGCUCUGGGGAGCAGUCGGAGGCAUACCUGAAUUGGGACAAAGGGAGAUCAGAGGAACAGGGCUGUGGGCUUUGUGCUGACUGGGAUGCUGUAACUUUCUUUUCUCUGUGCUAACCAAGACUUCCUAUGCUGUGUUUCAGUUAACUAAUAAACUCUUCUGUUUUACAACAUAGGCUGAGUGUCACUGCAAAUGCUGACGGAAGAGGUGUGGUGCUCCCUAAGAUUGUAUAAGUCUUCCUGUAGUGAGGCAAGACUCACUGGUGUGGCGUCUCCUGCUGGUUAUCCUGGGAAUUAGCUUGAUUCCAGCCUGGAGCGCCCUCUGCAGGCCGGUAGCUCACCUGCUGCUGGCCCCCAUGUCCCUCCCGGAGCCAGGUGCCCUUUACCUCUGGGUUCUGCCCCAGCAGUACUCCACGAUGCUCUGGGUCUUCCCUCCCAGGUGAACCCUCAACCCUCUCACCCACCUUGACUCAGUGGCUACUGCCAGUCAUCAUCUAGGCGUCAUCUGCUUCCCACAGCUACUCAUAUGGCUUUAUCAUGGCCUAGAGUUGCCAAUUUUGGUUGGACAUAUUCCUGGAGGUUUCAUCACAUGACAUAAUCUUUAAUUAAAGAUUAAUCUUUAAUUCCUGGAGACUCCAGGCCAAUUCUGAAGGGUUGGCAACCCUAAUAAUCGCCAGGCUGCGGCUCCGAGUCCCCGCCCCACAGCCGGAGCCAA